GAUGAACGCUGGCGGCGUGCUUAACACAUGCAAGUCGAACGGAAAGGCUCCUGCUUGCAGGGGUACUCGAGUGGCGAACGGGUGAGUAACACGUGGGUGAUCUGCCCUUCACUUCGGGAUAAGCCUGGGAAACUGGGUCUAAUACCGGAUAGGACGAUGGUUUGGAUGCCAUUGUGGAAAGUUUUUUCGGUGUGGGAUGAGCUCGCGGCCUAUCAGCUUGUUGGUGGGGUAAUGGCCUACCAAGGCGUCGACGGGUAGCCGGCCUGAGAGGGUGUACGGCCACAUUGGGACUGAGAUACGGCCCAGACUCCUACGGGAGGCAGCAGUGGGGAAUAUUGCACAAUGGGCGGAAGCCUGAUGCAGCGACGCCGCGUGGGGGAUGACGGCCUUCGGGUUGUAAACUGCUUUCGCUAGGGACGAAGCGCAAGUGACGGUACCUGGAGAAGAAGCACCGGCUAACUACGUG
rnacentral:rRNA from 1 species